rnacentral:rRNA from 1 species
CAGUAGCCACGGGAAUACGAAGGGUGCAAGCGUUACUAGGAAUUACUGGGCGUAAAGCGUGCGUAGGUGGUGGUUUAAGUCCGUUGUGAAAGCCCUGGGCUCAACCUGGGAAUUGCAGUGGAUACUGGGUCACUAGAGUGUGGUAGAGGAUAGUGGAAUUUCCGGUGUAGCAGUGAAAUGCGUAGAGAUCGGAAGGAACAUCUGUGGCGAAGGCGACUAUCUGGGCCAUUACUGACACUGAGGCACGAAAGCGUGGGGAGCAAACAGGAUUAGAUACCCCAGUAGUCCCUGUCUCUUAUAC